rnacentral:rRNA from 1 species
CGCCCUUCCAGAGGGGGACAACAGUUGGAAACGACUGCUAAUACCGCAUACGAUCUGACCUCGGCAUCGAGGAUAGAUGAAAGGUGGCCUCUAUUUAUAAGCUAUCACUGAAGGAGGGGAUUGCGUCUGAUUAGCUAGUUGGAGGGGUAACGGCCCACCAAGGCGAUGAUCAGUAGCCGGUCUGAGAGGAUGAACGGCCACAUUGGGACUGAGACACGGCCCAG